AGAGUUUGAUCCUGGCUCAGAGUGAACGCUGGCGGCGUGGAUUAGGCAUGCAAGUCGUGCGAUGAUAUAAUGGGGACUGGUCCCGCAAGGGACCUGUCCCUAAUUAUACCAUAGCGGCAAACGGGUGAGYAACGCGUGAGUAAUCUACCUUUAAGCCGAGAAUAGCCUUGCGAAAGCGAGGGUAAUGCUUGAUGUGUUCCCGACAACAAAAGUUGUCGGGAGUAAAGAUGGCCCGCAAGGGCUAUCGCUUAGAGAUGAGCUCGCGUCCUAUCAGCUAGUUGGUAGGGUAAUGGCCUACCAAGGCUAUUGACGGGUAGCUGGCCUGAGAGGGUGUUCAGCCACACGGGGACUGAGAUACUGCCCCGACUCCUACGGGAGGCWGCAGUCGAGAAUAUUUAGCAAUGGGCGAAAGCCUGACUAUGCGACGCCGCGUGAGGGAUGAAGGUCUUCGGAUCGUAAACCUCUUUCGAUGGAGAAGAAAUCCAGCCCAUUAAUAGUGGGCUGGGAUGACGGUAYCUAGAGAAGAAGCCACGGCUAACUCCGUGCCAGCAGCCGCGGUAAUACGGAGGUGGCGAGCGUUACUCGGAUUCAUUGGGUGUAAAGGGCAGGUAGGUGGCUAUGUAAGUUGGAGGUGAAAUCCUCUGGCUCAACCAGAGAACUGCCUUCAAAACUGCAUGGCUUGAGGCUAGAAGAGGAGAGUGGAAUUCCCGGUGUAAGGGUGAAAUCUGUAGAUAUCGGGAGGAACGCCUGUGGCGAAAGCGGCUCUCUGGUCUAGCCCUGACACUGAGCUGCGAAAGCUAGGGGAGCAAACAGGAUUAGAUACCCUGGUAGUCC
rnacentral:rRNA from 1 species